rnacentral:lncRNA from 1 species
CUCCCUUGUUGCGUUGUUGAAACACCGUCGGCGCCUUCCCUGUCCUCCUUGUAUCUAGAUCUAGUACCGAAGGUAAUCGCUCAUGGCCAGAUCUGGUCUCCAUGUCAUCCCCACAUUUAGAUCUGGUCUCAUCGGCAAUAGAGGAUACAUUCAUCCUCUUGAUGGCUAGAUUUGGUCUUCAUGUCAUCCCCAUGUUCAGAUCUGGUCUCAUCGACAACAGGGGAUGCCUUCAUCCUCUCGAUGGCUAGAUCUAGGUGCUCGUCCUUUUCCCCAUCACCACUGUGGUCAGGUUCAAGCAUCUUUCUACCAUUGUUCACGUUAUCUAAUUCAGUUUCUCAUUCUUCCUUGGUUCCAUGGUCAGAUCUGAUCUCUCAUCAUUCCACGGGCAGGUCCGGUCUUCAAUCCUUCCUUCGUUGUCUUAGCGGACAGAUGUGGAAACAACACCGACAAUCAAUGGUAUGUUUAUAUAUUUGCUUUGUUCUUAUUUUGUAAUGUUUGCUUAAAAAUUUGGGCCAUUCCAUUCUUUCUUCUCAUGUGGGAGCCAGGACAGCUAGAUAGCUUGGGCAAAUUACAAAGGAUCCCGGCGAUAAGCAUUUGCCAUGAAAAUUGUUCAUUACUUUCCUGUUUCUUGCUUAUAGCUCGCCUCGAGGAACAAUUCAACACAUGAAAAGUACCCUCCUUCACAUUAUCUUUUUUUUUUGCGAGGAACCCUCCCUCACAUUAUCAACCUCAUUUAUCCUUUCUUGUCCAGAGGCAAUGCAUAGUUUCAGUGCAAGAAAAAUAUUAUCGAGGAGGAUCGUGGCUAAUAAGCUAUCACAUCUCCCUUCUAUUUUGUCGACCAUCCUCCAAAGUAUCGACCCUCCCUUGUUGUGUUGGUGAAACACCGUCAACGUGUUCCUUAUCCUCCAUGUAUCUAGAUCUAGUAUCGCAAUCAGUCACGAAUGGCCAGAUCCGGUCUCCAUGUCAUCCCCACAUUUAGAUCUGGUUCCAUCGAGAACAGAGGAUGCAUUCAUCCUCUCGAUGGCUAGAUCUAGGUGCCCGCCCUUCUCCCCAUCACUUUUGUGGUCAUGUUCAAGCAUCUUUCUAUCAUUGUUCACGUUAUCUGAUCUGGUCUCUCAUUCUUCAUAUGUUCCAUGGUCAGAUGCGAUCUCUCAUCAUCCCUUUCAUCCCAUUGCCAGCUCCGAUCUUCCAUCCUUCCUCUGUUGUCUUGCGAACAUAUGUGGAAACGACACCGACAAUCAAUGGUAUGUUUAUACAUUUACUUUGUUCUUAUUAUGUAAUGCCGGCUUGAUAGCCUGCCGCUGAGCCAUCCCCUUUCUUUCUUCUCCAUGUGGGACCCACGAUGGCCAGAUAGCGUGGGCAAAUUACGAAGGAUCCCGGCGAUAAGCACUUGCCCUGGAAAUUGUUCAUUGCUUUCCUAUUUCUUGCUAUAGCUCAACCACUGCCUCGAGGAACAAUGCAACACAUGGCAGGUACCCUUCCUCGCCUUAUCAGCCUCAUUUAUCCUUUCUCGAGCACACUCUAUGGCAAACAAGCCAUGGAAAUCCAAACCAGUGUUAGGAGGAGAGGCCCC